CAUGCAAUAAGCAAUAUGUGGGACUCAUGUCAUACAGGACGCCACUAUUACAAGGUUCAAAAACCAUAAAGAAAAGCAAAAUAAUUCACAACUUAAGUAGAAAAGAACAAGUUAUUUUCACACAUUUACGAACAGGGCAUUCAAAUCUAAAUCACACUUUACACAUUAUAGGGAAACAUGACACAGGUCUAUGUGAUGUCUGUUCAGUAGAGGAAACUGUAGAGCAUGUUAUGCAGAAAUGCAAGACAUAUGAAAUACAAAGGAGGAUUCUUAAGCAAGAAUUACAAGCAGUAUGAUGCCAAGAAUUUUAUAUAACUAGCUUAUUAAAUGAUGGUCCAAAUUCAAGGAAACAAAUGCAUGCAGUCAUGAGAUGUAUUAAGAAUAGUGGUCUAUAUAGUAGGAUAUAGGAGGGUUAUUCAUUCUUUUCACACUCCAUCACAGUAGGUGGCGGUAUGCACCUUGGAUGUUGGUUCGCAAACCGCCAUUAAAAUCAAAGAAGAAGAGAUUGUUCUCAUGAACGACCCUGAACACGGCUCCGUUGAUUUGAAGUUCUGUAGAAACGUGUGAAUCUUUGGAAACAGUAAAGCUGCUCCAGUCAGGAUUAUUAUUUGACCUGAAACCCUUCACUGAUCUGUACUACAAAGUAAAACAAAGAGAAAUCAGCAGCUUAUUUCACUAACACUACACUUGUGAUGCAAGUGUUCAGACGGGCUUUUUGGUGGUUUAAAGGAGAAAUUGUGAGUCAUGCAGUUUCAGUCUGGAGGAGGUGUUUAAACGAGUUUCCAGCUCAUUCGACACAGACACAGCAGCACUGAUCUCAGACCAGAUGUUUCCUCUUCAUCUCAUCACAUGCUGAAGAAAACACUUUACCUGUAAUUAUUUGAUAACACAAAUGUAAAUGUAAGAGAAAUUGAUGAAUGGGAGAACAUAUAUGGAGCAUCACGAACCGCAGGAUAAAUAAGCACAUGAAGAAGAGAAAAAUUGUAACAAAGAGGACAAAAUGUUACAAUCUAAAGAAGCAAAGAAACCGAGUCUAUUCAGACGGAGCAGUAUUAAUAGCGGCAAACCAAACUUUUCUCAUGAUCCAGACAAACCUGAAGAGAUUCAUUCUGAUGAUUCAGAUGGAGACACAGACGAGGUCAGAUAUUACACAUCAUACACAGAGAAAUAUAUUCAAACUAUGUACAAAUUAUGCAGCAACUUAGCCAGUUUAUCAUAUUAUUUUUAAUAUUAUUUAAAAUUAUUAGAUUAAACAGUUUUAUAUCCAUAGUUAGGACAGGCGGUGUAGAAGACUGUCUUGUUUUUACAUAUUUUGCAUGUUUUCAUAUAAAUUAAGCUUUACAGUAUGUUACUGUACUGUAUGAUACUGUAUAUACAUUUAAGACACUGACAGUAAUGAUUUAUUAUAUAUUAUUAUUAUUAUUAUAUUAACAAAAUGAAAUUUUUAGAAUGAAUUUCACUGUAAUAAAUGCUGGAAUAAUGCUGGCUGACACGUCUUGUAAAAAUAAAUCUGAAUAAUAUUUCUGUUUACGAAAACUUGUGUUUAGUUUGAUGUUGUUGGCUACUUUCUAUUUUAUGACAAAAGUUCAGUGAGGAAAAUGUGUUUGUUAAUAAUUUUAGGCACAAAUGAUCACAGACUCUUUCACUUCCUCAGGUAUCUGAAAUAUGAUUUUACUGGAGAAGAUCAGAGGCAGAAUCUCUUUCAUCAGCGUUUAACCUGCAUUCUGCUAUAAAAAUUUAAAUAAACUUCCUCUAUGCUUUCUUUU